GUGGACAGUGGUAUGUGGGAGUGGACAGUGGUAUGUGGGAGUGGACAGGUGUGUGUGGUGCUGGGAGAGGUGAAUCUGUGGGGGGCUUUUUUUGUUUUUGUUUUAUUUUUCGUUGUUUUCUCCAAAGGUAAGCAGAUUCCGUUUUCUUUCUUGUGUGUGCUGUAUUGUCAUUACUCGUGUGGAAUGUGGAGAGAGUGCUGUGUCUGGGAAAGUUCAGGUUUUCACUUUCAGUGAGGAGUAGUAGUGGUUGUUGUAGACAGGUUGGCUGUGAAUGGUCACUUGUGUAGUGUGAUUGAUACAUAAUGGUGUGGGUUGUGUUUAGAUUAUCUCUACAUUACAUCUGUCCCCGUCGUUUUAUGCAAGAAAAAUUCUGAAAUUAUGCAAACUGAGCCCAAAAAUGUGAAAUUAUGCGAUUCUGUUAAUUUUAACAAAGAAUGAUAAAGGAAAAUAAUCAGAAAUUAUGCAAAAAAUGAUCAACUUUUGCUAAAUUAUGUGGGGUGCAUAAAACCACGGGGACAGAUUACAUUCAGUUCCUCAGCUUAGCUUAGCUUGGAGUUGGAGCAGUGCUUGCCAGUCAGGGUGCAUGGUGAUUUGUUGGUGGGCGGUGGGGAUCACGGGAGUAGACUCUAGUGACAGGCGGUACUUACUUGUCUUACUUGUCCUGGGCAACAACGUCAUCAUUGCACACCGGACAGGUCCAUAAGUGCUCAGUUCCUCUCAGCACUAAAGCCCGCAAGGUAUCCAUACUGAUUGGUCUAGUGGCUGUUAGGUAGGUGUUAGUUUAAUGCAAUGCUCCAUUUUGAAAUACGUGUAGGAGGGCGGUACGAAAGUUUUCAGCCUCGUACAUAAAGUGAAAAGUGGGGAUCUUGCUAUAAAGAUGGGGGACAAGCAGUGAAGCACUGGUGUAGAAAUUUGUUGGGAUUUUUAUAUUUUUUGGGGGGGGGGUUGUGGUGUAAGCUCACCUUUGGACAUGUAGAGUGAACGCACCUUUGGACAUGUAGAGUGAACCCACCUUGGGACGUGUAGAGUGAAACGCACAUUUGGACAUGUAGAGUGAACGCACCUUUGGACAUGUAGAGUGAACCCACCUUGGGACGUGUAGAGUGAAACGCACAUUUGGACAUGUAGAGUGAACGGACCUUUGGACAUGUAGAGUGAACGCACCUUUGGACAUGUAGAGUGAACCCACCUUUGGACGUGUAGAGUGAACCCACCUUUAGACAUGUAGAGUGAACGCACCUUUAGACUUUAGAAUAGGACAUGUAGAGUGAAGUCACCUAUAACACAAUAUUAGCUUUUCCUCCCAGGGUGCUUUGUUCGGGUCGGGGGUUGUGUAGGCGUGGUGGGUCAAAUAUUUGGGGGGGGGGGGGGUGUUGUCUGGAUUUUGAUGGGUUUUUUUAUUAAUCGAGAGUGAGUGAUAGGAUUGAGUGCUUCGUCUUCUCAGGUACAUACGAAAAGCUCUGGACUCCCGUGUGGAUGUGAAGCGCUCGUUAAAGAAAACUUGGGCAGUUGGACUUCAUUCAAUGAAGAUCAGUCCAGCUUAUUUAAAACUGGGAAUAUCCUGCAUUAAAAUGUAUGCACGGAGGGAGAAAAAGAGCCCAAUUUCAAAAAAAUUUAUUGUACUUUAUAGCAUAUUAAUCUCUGAAUACACUUGCUGAGCAGCUUUCAUCUAUGUGACCUUUUUGUUGUAAUUUUAGGAUGAGUUGGGAAGUGUGUACCGUAACUAAGUUUGAAAGUGUGGACAUUUAACAAAGUUUGAAAGUGUGUAACAAAGUUUGUUAACAAAAUUUGAAAGUGUGGGACACAAGCUGUCAUUCAUCGUGUGUUUAGUGCAGACCUAUAAGUUUGGUGUGUCGGAACAAUCAUAUAAUUAGGUCGUCUACCUGAAAGGUGCACUGUGUCUAUGACAGUAUGAUUGUUUGUUACACAGUGUGUGGAGAACGACACGCUAUUCUGUGUGGGUAAACGAAGUAGGACAAAACCUAUUUUGUUUGCAUCAACAUUAAUUGUUGCGUAGGUCUGCGCAUUCAGGAGUGCUCGAGGCGAAUACAUGGGUUUUGUUUUUGUUUGUGUGUGUGUUUGUUUGGGGUUUUUUAAACUCUUGUUAGCGCCACAAUAUUUUUGCUGUUCGUUCAUUUUCCUCUUUACGUUUUUGUCAUGCCUCUCCACGACCCGACUCGCCAUAUUGUUUUCUUUGUCUUAGCGCCGUAGCUGCUCCAGUAUCAUUUUUCCGACUUCCUGAUUUUCCUUUUUUAUUAUUGUACAUACAUUUGGUCUCUUUCUUUUUGGCCUGAGGUGCAUCUUUUGCUUUAUAUCAUGACAAAUAAAAUCAAUCUCAUAGAA